rnacentral:snoRNA from 1 species
ACGACCUUACUUGAACAGGAUCUGUUCGAUAAGAUUGUACUACUGUGUCAUUGAUUGACGGGAACAUAAAUCAGAGCGUGAUUAAUGGCUUGGACAAUUUCUGAUC